rnacentral:rRNA from 1 species
UACAGAGGGUGCGAGCGUUACUCGGAAUUACUGGGCGUAAAGCGUGCGUAGACGGUUGCGUAAGUCAGAUGUGAAAGCCCCGGGCUCAACCUGGGAAUUGCAUUUGAGACUGCGUAGCUAGGGUGCGGAAGAGGGAAGCGGAAUUUCCGGUGUAGCGGUGAAAUGCGUAGAUAUCGGAAGGAACACCAGUGGCGAAAGCGGCUUCCUGGUCCAGCACCGACGUUCAGGCACGAAAGCGUGGGGAGCAAACAGG